rnacentral:rRNA from 1 species
UACGUAGGGUGCGAGCGUUAAUCGGAAUUACUGGGCGUAAAGUGUGCGCAGGCGGCCGCGCAAGUCGAGUGUGAAAUCCCCGAGCUUAACUUGGGAAUUGCGCUCGAAACUACGUGGCUGGAGUGUGGCAGAGGAAGGUGGAAUUCCACGUGUAGCGGUGAAAUGCGUAGAGAUGUGGAGGAACACCGACGGCGUAGGCAGCGCCCUGGCCGUUUCCUGACGCUGAAGCACGAAAGCUGGGGGAGCAAACAGG